UGCGAUAAGUAAUGUGAAUUGCAGAAUCUCGUGAAUCAUCGAAUCUUUGAACGCACAUUGCGCCCUAUGGUAUUCCGUAGGGCAUGCCUGUCUGAGCGUCAGCUCCCCUCACACUCAAGCCUCUUGAUUGAAGCUUGGAUUAUUUUAAAGAAGUAGCUGAAAUCCAAUAGGCUGCUCUUUAGAAAUUCAUAGGCAAUAUGGCACCUGAACCAGGCGUAAUAAUAUAAAAGCGUCUUUCUUUAGGAAAGUUGUAUUUGCCUUAACCCACCCAUUUCUCUCUGGGUGACCUCAGAUCAGGUAGGGAUACCCGCUGAACUUAA
rnacentral:rRNA from 1 species